rnacentral:rRNA from 1 species
UACGUAGGGUGCAAGCGUUAAUCGGAAUUACUGGGCGUAAAGCGUGCGCAGGCGGUUGUGUAAGACAGAUGUGAAAUCCCCGGGCUCAACCUGGGAGCUGCAUUUGUGACUGCACAGCUGGAGUGCGGCAGAGGGGGAUGGAAUUCCGCGUGUAGCAGUGAAAUGCGUAGAUAUGCGGAGGAACACCGAUGGCGAAGGCAAUCCCCUGGGCCUGCACUGACGCUCAUGCACGAAAGCGUGGGGAGCAAACAGG